GCUUUCGGGCUGAGUAGAGCGGCGGACGGGUGAGUAACGCGUAGGAAUCUACCUGGUAGUGGGGGACAACUUGGGGAAACUCAAGCUAAUACCGCAUACGCCCUAAGGGGGAAAGCGGGGGACCUUCGGGCCUCGCGCUAUCGGAUGAGCCUGCGUAGGAUCAGCUAGUUGGUGGGGUAAAGGCCCACCAAGGCGACGAUCCUUAGCUGGUCUGAGAGGAUGAUCAGCCACACUGGAACUGAGACACGGUCCAGACUCCUACGGGAGGCAGCAGUGGGGAAUAUUGCGCAAUGGGCGAAAGCCUGACGCAGCCAUGCCGCGUGUGUGAAGAAGGCCUUAGGGUUGUAAAGCACUUUCAAUUGGGAAGAAAAGUUUGUCGUUAAUAGCGCCAAGCUCUGACAUUACCUUUAGAAGAAGCACCGGCUAACUCCGUGCCAGCAGCCGCGGUAAUACGGAGGGUGCGAGCGUUAAUCGGAAUUACUGGGCGUAAAGCGCGCGUAGGCGGUUUGUUAAGUCAGCUGUGAAAGCCCCGGGCUCAACCUGG
rnacentral:rRNA from 1 species